AACGUAGGACGCAAGCGUUAUCCGGAGUUACUGGGCGUAAAGCGCGGGCAGGCGGCUCGAUGCGUCUGAUGUGAAAUCUCCUCGCUCAACGGGGAGAGGCCAUUGGGAACGGUCGGGCUGGAGGGCAGUAGAGGCAGGCGGAAUUCCGGGUGGAGUGGUGAAAUGCGUAGAGAUCCGGAGGAACACCAGAGGCGAAGGCGGCCUGCUGGGCUGCACCUGACGCUGAGGAGCGAAAGCGUGGGGAGCGAACAGG
rnacentral:rRNA from 1 species